AGAGUUUGAUCCUGGCUCAGGAUGAACGCUGGCGGCAUGCCUAAGACAUGCAAGUCGAACGGAGCGAACUUAUGAAAAUGGAGUGCUUGCACAAAGUUGGAAUUUGACCUCGCUUAGUGGCGAAAGGGUGAGUAACACGUGGGAAUCUGCCUUUAAGACUGGGACAACAGUUGGAAACGACUGCUAAUACCGGAUGAUAUAUAAGAUGAUACGUUAUCUUAUAUUAAAAGAAGCCUUUAAAGCUUCACUUAAAG
rnacentral:rRNA from 1 species